UGGGGAAUAUUGCACAAUGGGAGAAACCCUGAUGCAGCGACGCCGCGUGAAGGAAGAAGUAUCUCGGUAUGUAAACUUCUAUCAGCAGGGAAGAAAAUGACGGUACCUGACUAAGAAGCCCCGGCUAACUACGUGCC
rnacentral:rRNA from 1 species